rnacentral:sRNA from 1 species
AAAAGUAAAAGUAAAAGAAUUGAGACUUAAAACACGUGUAAGAUAGAUAGAGUUGCAGUUAUUGUUAAAGUGACUGUUGAUUUAGUAUAAUUAGAUAUAAGCGGCAAAUUUGAGACAUAAAAUGUGUUGGAGUAAGUUUGAAGAUAAAGACUUAAGUUAUAAGUUAUUUAAAUAUAGGAUUAGAUUAAAUCUUAAGGAGAGAUCUUAGGAGUUAAGUUAGGAGUUAUCUAACCAUAAUCCUAUUGUCAUUUUGUUUUAAAUCUCUAUAUAUAUGAGUCCCAAAGUUGUGGUGAACCAUAUGAGUUUUAGAGAGAUUAAGACUUUGAGAUUGUUUAGGUUUGAGUUAUUUCCUAAACUU